CCCAAAGUGGUUAUUAACCUCAGCUACGGCGAGUGAAGCGAGCAAAAGCUCAAAUUUGAAAUCUAGCACCUUCAGUGUUCGAGUUGUAAUUUGAAGAAGGUAACUUUGGUUUUGGCUCUUGUCUAUGUUCCUUGGAACAGGACGUCACAGAGGGUGAGAAUCCCGUGCGAUGAGAUGCCCAAUUCCAUGUAAAGUGCUUUCGAAGAGUCGAGUUGUUUGGGAAUGCAGCUCUAAGUGGGUGGUAAAUUCCAUCUAAAGCUAAAUAUUGGCGAGAGACCGAUAGCGAACAAGUACAGUGAUGGAAAGAUGAAAAGAACUUUGAAAAGAGAGUGAAAAAGUACGUGAAAUUGUUGAAAGGGAAGGGCUUGAGAUCAGACUUGGUAUUUUGCGUUCCCUUCCUUUUUGGUUGGGUUCCUCGCAGUUUACUGGGCCAGCAUCGGUUUGGAUGGUAGGAUAAUGACAUUGGAAUGUAGCUUUACUUCGGUGAAGUGUUAUAGACUUUGUUGAUACUGCCUAUCUAGACCGAGGACUGCGUCUUUGACUAGGAUGCUGGCGUAAUGAUCUUAAGCCGCCCGUCUUGAACACGGACCAAAAUAAG
rnacentral:rRNA from 1 species